rnacentral:rRNA from 1 species
GACGAACGCUGGCGGCGUGCUUAACACAUGCAAGUCGAACGGAAAGGCCCUGCUUUUGUGGGGUGCUCGUGUGGCGAACGGGUGAGUAACACGCGAGUAACCUGCCCUUGACUUUGGGAUAACUUUAGGAAACUGGGGCUAAUACCGGAUAGGAGCUCCUGCUGCACGGUGGGGGUUGGAAAGUUUCGGCGGUUGGGGAUGGACUCGCGGCUUAUCAGCUUGUUGGUGGGGUAGUGGCUUACCAAGGCUUAGACGGGUAGCCGGCGUGGGAGGGUGACCGGCGACAUUGGGCCUAAGAUACGCAGCAGACUCCUACGGGAGGCAGCAGUGGGGAGUAUUGCGCAAUGGGCGGAAGCCUGAUGCAGCAACGCCGCGUGCGGGAUGACGGCCUUCGGGGUAUAAACCGCUUUCGCCUGUGACGAAGCGUGAGUGACGGUAAUGGGUAAAGAAGCACCGGCUAACUACGUG